GACGAACGCUGGCGGCGUGCUUAACACAUGCAAGUCGAACGAUGAAGCCGGAGCUUGCUCCGGUGGAUUAGUGGCGAACGGGUGAGUAACACGUGAGCAAUCUGCCCUUGACUCUGGGAUAACUGCGGGAAACUGUAGCUAAUACCGGAUACGACACCUUGGGGCAUCCCAGGGUGUGGAAAGAAUUUCGGUCAAGGAUGGACUCGCGGCCUAUCAGCUAGUUGGUGAGGUAACGGCUCACCAAGGCGACGACGGGUAGCCGGCCUGAGAGGGGGACCGGCCACAAGGGGACUGGGACACGGCCCAGACUCCUACGGGAGGCAGCAGUGGGGAAUAUUGCACAAUGGGCGCAAGCCUGAUGCAGCAACGCCGCGUGAGGGAUGACGGCCUUCGGGUUGUAAACCUCUUUUAGUAGGGAAGAAGCGAAAGUGACGGUACCUGCAGAAAAAGCACCGGCUAACUACGUGCCAGCAGCCGCCGUAA
rnacentral:rRNA from 1 species